rnacentral:rRNA from 1 species
AGUAACACGUGGAUAACCUACCUAUAAGACUGGGAUAACUUCGGGAAACCGGAGCUAAUACCGGAUAAUAUAUUGAACCGCAUGGUUCAAUAGUGAAAGACGGUUUUGCUGUCACUUAUAGAUGGAUCCGCGCCGCAUUAGCUAGUUGGUAAGGUAACGGCUUACCAAGGCAACGAUGCAUAGCCGACCUGAGAGGGUGAUCGGCCACACUGGAACUGAGACACGGUCCAGACUCCUACGGGAGGCAGCAGCA